CUUCAGCUUGGCUUCGUUCUCGCGUUCAUCAACAUCGUAAAAGCUCUCACCCGUCUGAUCGUCAUUCUCUCCUUCGAUGCCGUUAGCGAUCGUCUCCUCAUCCGCCAUGUGUUAAGCCCUAAAACUUAAAGACCGUUGUUAAAUUUGUAGAAAGAAAGUUUUGAGGAGAUUUUCCAGGAAGGUGAGAACGGAGAAUGUACAAAACAGCGUCGGCCUUUCCUUUAAAAGUGGAAAUGACGAAUCCGAUUCGCUAUUUUCUUUUCAUUGGAAUGGACGGCUGAGAAGCGUCCAAAUUCAAGAGUCCGUGACUGUGAGGUGCCCGUGUUUAAAGUGCAGGAUCCACCUGCGAUUAGCCCAUAUGCGAAGCACGUGCCUCCUUUCAUGGGGAAGUUCUACUUUGGGCUAUAUGCAAUAAUAAUAUAUCAUUUCACGGCCGGGCCUGACUGGGUCUGGGCCGACAUGGGUUAAAUGUUUCUAAGGUGGAGUAGUUAGAAUAAAAUGAGGCCCGACUCUAAAGCCUGCAUGCAUAUAAUUUAAAGCUAAAAAUUAGCUGUCGCGGACAAGUGACAAUGUCUUUUAUUUAUUUAUACAUUAUUGGGUUAUGAAAGGGACAAAGCUCAAAGUCAAAGACUACACCAUCAUGUUGAUCCGAGAAAAUACAUUCGGAAAAGGUUCAGGUUCAAAGUUUGAGAAGUUAAAUGACAUGAAGAUUGCUUGGCUCAUCAAUUUUAUUUGAGAUUAACUCGACUGUAAAUUUUAUUGGAUAAGAUUUAUCAAUUAAAUCGACAGUAAAUCUAUAUCCCAUGUCAAUUGUCAACUCUAUAAGCCCUCACAAACUGUCCAAACCUCAGUAUACAUGUAUACAUAUGACCGAGGGGCUUAAUGUGAAAAAAAAAUAAUAAUGGAGGGAAUAAUUUAUAUAAAAAUUAAUUCUAUACAGGCCCAAUAAUCAAAAACUUCAAAAUUUUAGGGGUUAAAAUAUGGGUUUUGCCUUAAAAAAAAAUGUAAUUGGUGAGUAAAGUGAGAGAGUUGAGAGUAUUGAACCUACUAACCCUUUUUGAUAUGCGACUAAUUUCAGGGCUUUUUUUUUAUUAUUAUUAUGAUGGGAUGAUAGCAUUUAAGGCAGACCAAUAAUGGAAUUAAAUUUUUACCAUUCUAACAUCCUCUAAUCUCUUACAAAUGUAGUAACUGAAAUUCCUAAACUAAAGCCAUAUUUCAACAUUCUCAUAAGUUUCUCACUGCAAGUAAGAAUUUGAAAAAGAAAUAUAUCAAAAAAAAAAAAAAGAAA
rnacentral:misc_RNA from 1 species